rnacentral:rRNA from 1 species
GAUCAUGGCUCAGGAUGAACGCUAGCGGCAGGCUUAACACAUGCAAGUCGAGGGGGUAUAGGAAGCUUGCUUCCUAGAGACCGGCGCACGGGGUGCGUAACGCGUAUGCAACCUACCUUUUACAGAGGGAUAGCCCAGAGAAUUUGGAUUAAUACCUCAUAGUGUUAUUAGAUGGCAUCAUUUGAUAACUAAAGUUCCAACGGUAAAAGAUGGGCAUGCGUCCUAUUAGCUAGAUGGUAAGGUAACGGCUUACCAUGGCUACGAUAGGUAGGGGUCCUGAGAGGGAGAUCCCCCACACUGGUACUGAGACACGGACCAGACUCCUACGGGAGGCAGCAGUGGGGAAUUUUGGACAAUGGGCGCAAGCCUGAUCCAGCAAUGCCGCGUGCAGGAUGAAGGCCUUCGGGUUGUAAACUGCUUUUGUACGGAACGAAACGGUGAGCUCUAAUACAGUUUGCUAAUGACGGUACCGUAAGAAUAAGCACCGGCUAACUACGUG